UCAGACGAUGCGUCAUGCAUAUCAAUAAGCGGAGGAAAAGAAACUAACAAGGAUUCCCUUAGUAACGGCGAGUGAAGCGGGAAGAGCUCAAAUUUGAAAUCUUCAAGGUUUUACCUUGACGAAUUGUAGUUUAAAGAAGUGUUUUCUGCUGAAGUUUUGGUAAAAGUUCUUUGGAAUAGGACAUCAUAGAGGGUGAGAAUCCCGUAUUUGACCAUUAUUUUCAGCUUUGUGAUACACUUUCAAAGAGUCGGAUUGUUUGGGAAUGCAGUCCAAAAUGGGUGGUAAAUUUCAUCUAAAGCUAAAUAUUGGCGAGAGACCGAUAGCGAACAAGUACCGUGAGGGAAAGAUGAAAAGAACUUUGAAAAGAGAGUUAAACAGUACGCGAAAUUGUCAAAAGGGAAGCGUUUGACACCAGUGUUGUUUUUCCGAAAAUCAAUUACGAAUGGCUUGAUUUUGUGUUGUAUUGACCUUAUCAGCUUUCUGCACUUUUUUCGAGUCUUUCUUAAUGCACUUUUCGGUUAACAAGUCAACAUCAAUUUCUUUUGUUGUAAAAGAGUAUUCGGAAGGUGGCUUUCUUUUCGGAGAAAGUGUUUAUAGCCCUAUACUUCUACAAUCGGAGAGAUUGAGGUCUGCAGCGUAGAUCCUUCGGGGUUAGAUACAUUUGUGCUAAGUUAUAGCAUUUUAUAGACAACUUGUUGACUAUGAUUUGUCUUGUAGCUUACUCGCUUAUGUUAUUUUACCUACGCUUAGGAUGUUGAAGUCAUCGUAUCGCGC
rnacentral:rRNA from 1 species